rnacentral:rRNA from 1 species
GAGUUUGAUCGUGGCUCAGAUUGAACGCUGGCGGCAUGCCUUACACAUGCAAGUCGAACGGCAGCACGGGAGCUUGCUCCUGGUGGGCGAGUGGCGAACGGGUGAGUAAUGCAUCGGAACGUAUCCUGGAGUGGGGGAUAACGUAGCGAAAGUUACGCUAAUACCGCAUAUUCUGUGAGCAGGAAAGCGGGGGACCUUCGGGCCUCGCGCUCUUGGAGCGGCCGAUGUCGGAUUAGCUAGUUGGUGAGGUAAAGGCUCACCAAGGCGACGAUCCGUAGCAGGUCUGAGAGGAUGAUCUGCCACACUGGAACUGAGACACGGUCCAGACUCCUACGGGAGGCAGCAGUGGGAAUUUUGGACAAUGGGGGCAACCCUGAUCCAGCUAUGCCGCGUGAGUGAAGAAGGCC